rnacentral:rRNA from 1 species
CCUGGCGGCACUAGCGCGGUGGUCCCACCUGACCCCAUGCCGAACUCAGAAGUGAAACGUCGUAGCGCCGAUGGUAGUGUGGGGUCUCCCCAUGUGA